UAAAAGAAAUGAUGGGCUGGGAAUCUGGCUGAGUGGUAGAGUGCUUGCCUAGCAUGCAUGAAGCCCUGGGUUCGAUUCCUUAUUACCACAAAAAGCCAGAAGUGG